rnacentral:tRNA from 1 species
GUCAGGAUGGCCGAGCGGUCUAAGGCGCUGCGUUCAGGUCACAGUCUCCCCUGGAGGCAUGGGUUCAAGUCCCACUCCUGACA